rnacentral:lncRNA from 1 species
CGAUGUUUCUACUUUUAUAUGUAAUGUUCAAUACAAUUAUAUUAUCAAAUAUUAUACAGAUAAAAAUGACUAAUAAUAUCCUAAAUAAUAACAAAGUUAGAUACCUCACUUAACUCCUUGGUUGGGACAAUGAGUGAUUAUAUAACUUAAAAACUAAUUUAUAUCACUUGACUUCUCGACUCUGAUGAAAAGAGCGUUCAUAGUUUUUUAUUUCAGAAAAAUGAUUCAAACAUUUUAUAUGGGUUAAAUCAAUUCAUAACUCUCUAAAGCACUAACACUCGAUGUUGUUAGCUUUCAAUUUGUUUUAAUUGUUUCAUCAGAUGACAUGUGAACCAUCAUUCAAGGUCCUAAUGCGAAGAAAAAUGAGACAUAUACUUCAUCGAGAUGGACUCACAUACGACCAAAUUAGCUGGUUAAACACCACGGACAAUUUAACUUCCCCAUAAACUAAAAAGGUUAUUUAUGUAUUGACUAACGUUUUUUGUUUGAAAAUGGUACAUAUUUAUGUUAUGAUCCUUAUCUUCAACACGAUCGACUCCCUUCCAAGCUUCUACGAUUGGUCGAGUGAGAGUCAUAAAUUCAACAAAUCAGACCCCUUUUCAAACUCAUGUUUAGUUGAGUGAGAAUCCAUACACCAUCUAGCAUGCCCCUUCUCAACUAGCCAAUGGAUCGCCAUGCCAUGACACCACGUCCACCCGAUCUAAGGGUUACUCCUUAAAUCAGAUAAAUUAACAUUUAUGUUUUAACCGACAACAUAUUUUCAGAGAUGAUAAGAUAUCACAAUGCUUUAAAACUCGGACGUCCAUCAACCCAAUCAAAUCACUGAAUUACCGGAUUAUUGAUCGAACCAAUGAUUCACUCGUCGGACCACAAGACUACUAACCUGAUUCAUACAAAAUAAAAAAAAAAAAUAUUCAUGAAAUAAAUUUUUUGACAUAAAUUUCAUAAUUCCAAAAUCUAAAAAAAAACUAUAAGAUUAUUCAAACAAAUAAGUUAAAUAACAAUAUUACAUCAAUUUUCAACUUGCAAACUAAACAAUAUACAAUAAAGUUAUAACAAUACAUUGAAUUGGUUUCAAAAGAUUUUUUAAAAUGUAAGGGAGGGGAAAUAUUUAGUUUCUUUCAAUUUUUUUACUCCCAACCCAAAAGUAUUUUGUUUUGAUAAUUUAAAAAAUAAACAUAAAAGAUUAAAUUGUCAAUUUAAAAAAUCUGAUGUGAUCAAUAAAUUUGUCGAAUUACAUCAAUUUUCACAAAUUAUAAUUAUAAUUUUUAUCUGAUAUAUCCGAUUGAUCGGAUCAGACCUCCGUGCCAAAUUUUAAAACACUAAAAUGUCUACUAGAAAAAAUAAAGUUAAAUUUAAGUGAAUUUCUUUAAUUACUUGAAUUCAAUCAUUUCACUAUAUAUAUUGGAUAUAAUUUGUUCAUUAGUAUCUUCUUUGAAUUAUUUAUUUAAAAAGUCACAGUAUGCGUUGGACUUUAAUAGUACAUGACAUUAUUUUAAGGUCAAUAUAUGAGUGCCGUGUUUGUUGAUGAAGUUAAAUAUUCGUUGGUCAGAAAACCGAGAAUUUAAAUCAACGCGUGCAAAACAAUGUUAACGAUUAAAAUAAGAACCAAAUCAAACAACUACUAAUAGUUAAUCCAACAAAAUAAUCGAUGUUUAAGAUGCAAACACCUUUGGUUAUCCAUCAAAAUGAGUCAAAUCUUAAAAAACUCGAAAUUCGAAACAAGAGAAUACUCUUCUUUUUAACUUAUUAUAAAAUAAAAGAUGAGAUUGUUAAAUGACAAAAAAACUCACCAAAAUAUUCGUCCAAAUUGUUAAAAGAAGUUGUUGAGACAGAUACAUACCUACUGCUUCAAUUUUCACGUAUUUUAUUUUGUUUCUUCCCAAAAAAGUUAAUGUUUUUU